rnacentral:rRNA from 1 species
UACGUAGGGGGCAAGCGUUGUCCGGAAUCAUUGGGCGUAAAGAGCGUGUAGGCGGUUCGCAAAGUCUGGUGUGAAAACUUGAGGCUCAACCUGAAGCUGUCACUGGAUACUGGCGGACUUGAGUCCGGAAGAGGAGAGUGGAAUUCCUGGUGUAGCGGUGGAAUGCGCAGAUAUCAGGAGGAACACCUAUGGCGAAGGCAGCUCUCUGGUACGUGACUGACGCUGAGACGCGAAAGCGUGGGGAGCGAACAGG